rnacentral:lncRNA from 1 species
AGGGUUUGACCCCACACUGCUUGUGCCCAUGUACCUAUAUACAUGUGCCUGUAUAUAACAUACAGAUUCCCUGACAUACACCUAGGGACUAUCGGUGGGAUACUUAUCUGUCAGGACCCAAGCUUAGCCAGGGUCAGGAAGAAGAUCUAGCGUUCAGGUGUAUUUCAUGGUUCGUCUAGCAAGAGAUGUGUUUCCUUUCAGUUUCCCUAGAACAUAUAUGGCUGUGGAUGUAUGUUGGUUAGAGUGCAUGUGUGUAUCAGUUAGAAAACAUGUAAAGUGGCUAGAACAUGUGUGCACCAGGUAAAGCUCAUGCAUGCGUUAUCAGAUGAGCAUGUGUGCCAGUUUGAGGACAUUUGUGUUGUGUACCUACCUGCAUGUGUGAGUUGGAAUGCACCUGGUAGCAUUUGUAGACAUUUAAGUGCAUGUAUUUUCUACUUUUGGAUGGUCUUGGGCAGGUCUGCUGACAGCCAGCUAAAGGACAUGUGACUUCACUUCCUGCUUCCUAGACUCUGUAGACUUACACUCCCAGGUGUGGACACUGUCUAGAAAGACAAGACAUUUUACUGAUUAGCUCUGCUGGCUUACUGGGAACAGAGGUGGGAUUGAGGUAGCUUUCAGAACUCAGUUUCCUUGGCCCUCUGGUGUUCUUCUAGCUGCAAUAGGGCAUGCCCCACAGUGGCGUGGAUAACAGGCCAAACCUAGGACUCAGGUUCCACGUGGCUGCUGCGCUCUCCCAGGCUCUUCAUGUCAUGCAGCUUGAGAACUGCUGUUGGACCAAACAUACAGUAAUUGUGCCCUUUCCAUGGAGUGAAUUCAGGGUUCCUGUAAUGAAAGGCCUGACUGGGGCCACAGAGACUCGCCUAUAAUUUUAUCAGAUUAAACUGAAGAGAGAA